rfam:Streptomyces sp. WM4235 P404contig25.1, whole genome shotgun sequence.
CAGUCCGCCACGUGGGACGGGCCCACCGGGGUCGCCACCACGCGGUUACCCUGACCGCGUGCACCCUUGACACAGAGGGGGUGCAAAGCCGACAGCCGUCGCAUCCCAGGGAGCACAUCCAUG